UGCGGACAUAUUCCUUUUUUACCUAAACGAAUUUAAGAAUGUUUUAUGAGCAGAUCUGUAGUUUCCAGGAGAUUGACAACAUUUCUCAAAAUUUUCCACCGUUAGAGAGAACGUGUAACGGAACAUGAUUUUAUAGCGGUGAUGAAAUACCUGGAACGAUCGGCUAAUUACAGCCCAAACGACCAAGAGAACAUCUGUAAGCUACUUUUUAGCAACUUGAUGAAAUACUAGCUGCCGACACUGAGUGAUUAAAGGCAAUAAUCGGCCCAUUAGUCAUCCCUGACAUGCAAGAGUGCAGUCAAAGUCCCCCACCUGGGACAACCUGACCAAGACCACAUCAACGGACGAGCGAGCGAGCCCCAAACUGAUAACUUUUUAUCAGCUGCGCAUUUUACAAAUGUAAAAGUAUAUUUAUGAAAUACAUAGCAUGGGCUGAAUUAUCAUAUACCAAAAUCGAAAUUGAAGAGUUUACAUAUGUAGUUACAUAAGUUCGCUAUAAUACACGUAUCACGGAGAACCCGUUUUGAUUCCCAAACUGACUUAAAUUUAUACAUCAGAAUGUAAAUAAGAGGUCAACUAUUUGAAAUCCAAGCUCAGGAUGAGAUACCGUUUUCGGAGGUAUCCAAAUGCCGACCAAAUCGUCGAAAAAGACAAAAUUAUGGGAGUUUCAUGAAUAGAAAAUAAAAUUUGGCUUUUUAUAUACAGCUACCUUUGUAAUUUUUUACCACAAAACUUUCUAUAAAUCCUGUUAAAACAAAAACUAUGCAUAAUUAAUUGAUUAUAAACAUGAGA